rnacentral:rRNA from 1 species
UUUUGUAGCAAUACAAGACCUAGAGUGGCGUAAGGGUGCGUAACACGUACAGAACCUUCCUUCGAGCGGGGAAUAGCCCAGAGAAAUUUGGAUUAAUACCCCAUAGCAUAUUGAUGAGGCAUCUCAUUAAUAUUAAAGAUUUAUCACUUGAAGAUGGCUGUGCGGCUGAUUAGGUAGUUGGCGGAGUAAUAGCCCACCAAGCCUGCGAUCAGUAACUGGUGUGAGAGCACGACCAGUCACACGGGCACUGAGACA